rnacentral:rRNA from 1 species
AGUGAACGCUGGCGGUAGGCCUAACACAUGCAAGUCGAACGGCAGCACAGGAGAGCUUGCUCUCUGGGUGGCGAGUGGCGGACGGGUGAGGAAUACAUCGGAAUCUACUCUGUCGUGGAGGAUAACGUAGGGAAACUUACGCUAAUACCGCAUACGACCUACGGGUGAAAGCAGGGGACCUUCGGGCCUUGCGCGAUUGAAUGAGCCGAUGGCGGAUUAGCUAGUUGGCGGGGUAAAGGCCCACCAAGGCGACGAUCCGUAGCUGGUCUGAGAGGAUGAUCAGCCACACUGGAACUGAGACACGGCCCAGACUCCUACGGGAGGCAGCAGUGGGGAAUUUUGGACAAUGGGCGAAAGCCUGAUCCAGCAAUGCCGCGUGUGUGAAGAAGGCCUUCGGGUUGUAAAGCACUUUUGUCCGGAAAGAAAUGGCUCUGGUUAAUACCUGGGGUCGAUGACGGUACCGGAAGAAUAAGGACCGGCUAACUACGUGCCAGCAGCCGCCGCCG